CCUACGGGAGGCUGCAGUGAGGAAUAUUGGUCAAUGGACGCAAGUCUGAACCAGCCAUGCCGCGUGCAGGAAGACGGCUCUAUGAGUUGUAAACUGCUUUUGUACGAGGGUAAACGCAGAUACGCGUAUCUGUCUGAAAGUAUCGUACGAAUAAGGAUCGGCUAACUCCGUGCCAGCAGCCGCGGUAAUACGGAGGGUGCAAGCGUUGUCCGGAAUCAUUGGGCGUAAAGAGUUCGUAGGUGGCAUAUUAAGUCUGGUGUUAAAUGCAGAAGCUCAACUUCUGUUCGGCACUGGAUACUGGUAAGCUUGAAUGCGGUAGAGGUAAAGGGAAUUCCUGGUGUAGCGGUGAAAUGCGUAGAUAUCAGGAGGAACAUCGGUGGCGUAAGCGCUUUACUGGGCCGUAAUUGACACUGAGGAACGAAAGCCGGGGUAGCAAAUGGGAUUAGAUACCCGGGUAGUC
rnacentral:rRNA from 1 species